UAACAUGAGUCAGCCCUGGCAACCCUGGACGGAAGACCCCGCGGGGGGCGCCGAGGUGAGGGCAGAGGGCAGAAAGCCAAUUAGACACACAAUGUAGCAGACGAGCCACCGCGCUGAAGUGUCUAUCGCGUUGCAGAACAAACUCUACGCGCUUUCAAAAUGGCGAGUACCUGGUGCUUUGUGCGUGCAAACUUUGGAAAACCUAUUAAAAUACCCGCCACUUCACAGACUUGCAAGAGGAAAUGAAUGGAAACUCUUUUCAAAAGCCACUACAGACUAAGAAUAUCCUAACUCACUUGCUCGGAAAUAGACUUGUAGUUAACAAAAAAAACAGAUCAUUAGAAUAUAUUUCGUUGUAAGGAGAAAGUUUAUGUAAUCACCUAUUUCCGAAAGAUUCUAUGGCGUUAUGUAUUAUUGUAUGUGUGUAUGGAACGCUCAAAUUAAACAACUCUUUGGGAACCUCUAUCGUUUCCGGAAGCCUCUUGAAACGAAUGUAAUAAAAAGCGCUGGAACAAAAGUGUUAAUUAACGAAACAAGAUCGAUAGUUUGGAACUUUACCAGCGGGAAACAACAGAUUCUGCGAUGUAUAAAUUGCAAGUCUAAUUAACACGAGCUCGGGUAGUUUUACGAGCAAAUUGGAGCUCGCAGUUCGAAAGCUAAUAAUGGUCAUCGGAUAUUUGGCAAAUUCGUUAAAGUCACAUUUUGACAUCUUGAACUGGAAACUUGCUUCAUUAAUUUGACAGGUGCAGUGGGUCUGAGCAGCGACCUUAAGUAUGUAGGUAUGUACUUCCUCCGUCUGAGGUUGUGGGUUCGGAAAACAUGUGAAUUAUCCAUUAAACUUAAAGCUUGAGCAUUAGUUAAGCACAUACUACACGAGGAAUAGUUUUCCACGUCUUUCAACUGUCGGAAACUUUCGCUUCAGCUUGGGAGUAGCAAAGAUUUUAAAAUUUUUAGAAAUGUAUUUAGUUUUAAUGUUUCAUUAAUAAAUUAAACGAAAUAGACAGAACCUAGAUUUAGUACGAUAUAGGACGCAAUAACACCUGGAUGUUAACGGCGUUUGUAAGAUAUGCAAGUUGACUCUACCCAAACCUCAGGCGGGCUUGUACGCGGCGUGAUACAACAAUGCGAAAUCGAACAAUAAGUCAAUGCCAUUUACGGUGCCAUUUAAGUAAAUAGACAUGGCGAAAGACCAGAUCCAGGCCGGAAUCAAUUUAGAAAAAAAAACAUACUUGACUCUAGCUAUAAAUCCAAGCCAGAUAUUUCUAAAUGUGCCAAAGAAGUUCCUACUUCUCGGCGCUAGUUUCGAAGCUCUUGGGUUAUUGGGGUCAUGACCCCAAUAAUCAUUUUAAUUCAUCCACCAUGAUGUUUGCAAAGCGACGUAGCUCAGACACAAUGAAAACAAAAGCUUCCCAGUUAAUAUCUAGACGUGGAAAAAUGGAAAACUAAUUUCCACUUGCACACAAUUAUUUAUGCAUUCUGUGCAUGCAUUGUGAAUAUAAUGGCAUUGUAUGCAUUGUUGUGCGACGCGCUAGAAACUUCGUGUUGGCUAAACUAACUUUCCAGCUGCUUAGGUAUUUCAUAAUGACUGACUUCUGGGAGAUACGCACAAUAAUAUAAAGUCACGUUUGCAUUCUAGUACCUAUUAGUUUCCACAUUUCUCUCUAAGAUGGAGGGAGGCUUGACCUAAUGAAAGUAUCAAAAAAAUUAAAAAUAAUGAAAGCCUCAAAUUAAAAAUAAUGAAGUGCGCUCCGGUUACGAAGCCAAGCUCAAGGAAGGAAUUGUCACCCGCUGGGAUAUUGUCGCGCCCAUAGAUCAUAGAAAAGGCCGGAAAAGAAGAAAUUUGAACAUGAUAUACAUUCAGCAAAUAUUAAUUCGAGUAAAAAGGAAUCAAAACUACUACUUCGGAAAACUUGUGCGAGUUAAAUUCGUAAAUUAUUUAUAAACUUUACGAGUAUUCCUAAGUGUAAACGUUUUGUAUUGUAGAGCAAGCAGAACAUAUACCUAUAUAUCUAGAUGAAAUCACCGUAAAAUAUAUUAUGAAGAUUUUUUUUAAUAGAUCGACUCCCUUCAAAAUUAAUUACAAGCUACCCUCCUGCGACACAAAGUGUCGACUGUACACGGGGGGCUCGAACGAACGGGGGCUAAGUGGUAGAAUGCAGGCACGCCGAUAACGCAGAACUGAGUAAAUGUUUGUUCUAAAUCGAAAUCUAAUGUCUUUAAAUUAAAAUUAGCUAUUGAAUCAUAGACUAAAAUAAAAUUACUAUUAAAGUAAAAUACAAGAAUAAAAAUUUUAAAAUUUUAUUCUUCUUCAGAAGAUUCAUUCAUUCUGCAAAUUGAAAUAUCAGUAGACUUCCGGCAUAACUUAUAUCUAAAAAAAAUAUUGCUUGGUUAGUGGCGUAACUAUUCAAAUAGUAAAUCAAAUUUCAUUUUCAUUUCAUUUAUUCGUCAUGUUAUAUGAGUACCUUUGGAUACGGUACAAAUAUUAUUUUAUUUUAAUUAGGAAAAUAAUUUGCAUGUUACCUAGAUUUAAAUUACGCCGUCGAUAGAUCACAAAGAAUACAGUUAUAAAAUAUGCCCUAUUCAAUUGCAAUAUGGACUAAAAUAGGUGGUAUUGAUAUACGUGCUCUGAAAGGCAGUGUCAAGUGUUGAUACGCGGGCGCGUCGAGUGCUGAGGUGAAAAGGUUGUGAGGAAAAGCGACGCUUUCAAUUAAUACUGUUUAUUUUUACUGUAUAAUUAAUUUUAUAGUGACACUAAUGUACUGUAAGGAUUGUUAAUUAAAAAUUUAUUUCUGUAAAAAGAUAAUUUAAAUACUUUGAAUACGAGUUACUGGAUUUGUGAAGAAAAUUGUCAUAUAGCGUUUUUUUAUCCACAUAAUACAUAUAAGUAAAAUACAUUGUUGUAGGUAUUUUUUAAGCGUUGAUAUGACCAUAAUUUAAGGGAAAUGAUUGAGCUUCAUGGGUUUGAGACAGUGAAAUUAAAAACAUUUCGUAAUUCUAAAGCAUUUAUAAUCGGGUGAAACGCAGUCAAUGGAUAUUUUUUUAAUAAAUAUUUAAAUUUUUACGUUGUUUUUAGUAAGACCCUGGGAGGAAUUUUCAACAGCCGUUACCAGUAAAAAAAAAAUUGAAAAUGACGCAGGAAACCGCAAAUCGCGUGUCCCUUCGGGCGGGCGCCAUGUGUACGCAGCACGGAGGUACUCGCUUAAGCAAGUAUUUGUAUUCCGCACGCAGACACAGCGCUAACCGAACGGACCGAUACAAGCCGAUUUAUUUCGCCUUUUAUUCGCCGAAUUGAGUUCGUUACAAAAAGUAUUGCGCCCUUAUCGCGAUUCGCGUGGGUGAUACAAUACGCGAUGGAUCUCUUAACAAAAUACUGGCCCUACGGGACCGGUACCACUUUAAUUUAUGACGUCACGGCGCUGACGUCACUCACCUGUCGCUGGAGACGAGCACGAGCUGCGUGUUGGCGUACUUGGUCCUGCGCUUGCGCACCGCCGACAGCGCCGCGCACAGGCUCGGCGAGAACGAGCGGCACGGCGGACACUGGGACAAACAAACAUACGGACGGAUCAAACGGAUGUCUGGAUGAGAUCGUUAUGAUGCGGACUCGGCGCCCUUCGAUACGAGUGCUGUAAAUACAAACAAUAACAAUUUGCGUGUAUUGGUGAGUCUACAGGAAAUCACAUCUUUUUGGAAGUUCGCUUUAAAAUCUUCGCUUAUUCAUGAUCAACUUCUCUUUUACCCAGCCGUCCAAGAGGACGGCUGAAGAAGAGUGAAGAUUAAGAGUGUUGGUCAGGAGUAGUUGUGCAGAUUUACCUAGCUAUACCAUCAGCUUUUUAGUGUCUUACUGUAGGGUCCGCCUUUUAAAGUAUAGGGAAUUUGGAGCACUCACCACGCACUCACUCACGUGUUCUCAUGUGGUAUUCUAAUAUUUUUUGACUCUGCAAUAGUCACUAUUAGAUGUUGAUGAUAAUAAUCGUUUGGCUUGACAGUUUCAAAAUAUUUCCGCCAUCGCGCUUAGGUAAACUUUCUUUUUAAUUAACUAUAUUCACUACCCAAAGUAUUUGUUCAUACCUUUCAACUUCUUACAAACAAAGUAGUCUGUCCCAGCGAUGUACCGGUGCUGUGUACUAGGUCUAUCAACCCUGAUGGAACUUGAGAUAUAAAAUAGCGUGGAGAAAAACAUGUUGUGCUCCAGAAUAGCCUCCCCCUUACCUUUUAACGAGAAGCUUGCUGACUCAUUCAGCCGUGAGGAUGCAAACAAGCUACAUCCUUUGGAACUAAAGAAUGAGUUUUCUUGCAUUAUUGUCCUCAUGGAAUAUAAUAGGCGUUACAAAAUGAAACUGAGUUGUUAUAAAUACGACAAAGUGCGAGUCAGAUAAUCACUGAGGUAAAUAAUGAGGGACAAACUUAACUAAAGAAAUAUUUCCGAAGUAAUUUUAGAAUUUGUCCUACGUCCUUUAAUUUUCAAAACCAAAAGUUGGCUAUAAAAUAGACUAAAAUGGUAUCUACUCAAAAUCUUGGCACGAGCAGGUGGGACCAUUUAUGCACUACAUUGGGACUAAAAUUAUAGAACAGAUUCGAUAAAAAGGUUCACAUGUGUGUCUCUUAAUAGAAAUUCUUCAUUUUAUGGAUCACUUAAAAAGAUCUUCGACGAUUAAUAGCUUCAGUCUGUUACACACAGAACCGUACGCGAGGCUGAAAUCAUUAACGUCUUCAGCGGAGUCCAUUAAUGCAGUAAUCGAGGAUACGAGGGGGUUAUACAUUGUUGUAGGGACAGCGGUGCAGAGGGCGGGCAGGAGAGCGGAACGGGGACAAAGGGAGACUUUCCGCACCAAUCGCCACUUGCCCGAUACUCCUAAUCUUGAUUGUACGAUGUACUUGAUACUGCGACUUAAUGCUGGGGCUCCACGAUUUCACUCGGAUAUGGAAGGGUCAUGAUUACAACAUUAUGUCUGUAUUUGUGUUUACAAAAUGCAUUAAAAUGAUAUGGACAACGUAACGGCGAUAUUCCGAGAGUUUACCAAGCAUUGUUUCUUCUAAUGGAAUGCAUCUUUGUAUAACAUAAACAUUUUGUUGUUUGGACAAGCAAAUUUGUUAUCCAAAGAAGAUUAAUAAUAAAAAAAAAGAAUAAAAUGUUCCAUUGUUUGCCUCGCUAAUUACAGUUCAGGCCUGUAGCGUUUAACUAUUGUUAUCAGCAGAUCGAGGUAUUACAUGCAGCAUCAAACAGUUGGCCAAAAUAAAUGACCAAACUCUUUGGAUUUUCCCGUUUAGUUUUCAUGGUCUUAUCACCUUUCAACUCUAUUAUCAGACGUGUGCUAUGGUGCGGUUGUAUUAAUAAUGAAGAUAAGAUACGAAAGUAGGUAUACAAUAUUUCUAAGCAAAUGAAAAUCAAAUCGAAAAUCAAGAAGCUUCAAAGGUUUGACCACAACAUAACAGAACAAUUUAAAAGCUCCUAAAAAUAUGCUCUGAACUGAGAACUUGAAUUUUGUAAGUCGAUCAAAAGCAACUGUCUACAACUCUACAGUCAGUAGCUGACAGCAAAUAAACAGCUAAGCGCUGACGAAGAGUUGCGACGACGCAGCGGCUUGUUGUUCAUAAUUAGCGUAUAAAUAACAUGAGGGUGCGGCGCAGGAAGCUUCCGCGCUAUUUCUGUUUGGACAUGUUUAGAACGGUUCAAACGGUAGAUGUCCAACAGUUAAACUGACCUAGUACAACUAUUCACUGGGUUUAUUGUUUUCUUCUUUUAUUGCACUAGUACACUUUGUCGGAGAAAUCUUGAAAACCAUUUUAAUUGAAAGGCCAUUGAUUUAGUUUUCUUGUAGAAACUUUAAUGCUGGACAUUUAAGCUUCUACAAAUUACCGUUUUAUCUGUGAUUUUUUUUAGGAGAAUAAAUACAUGUAAAACUAAUUUUAUAAAUUAUAUUGCAUUUGUCUGUAUAAUAGACGAGUUUAUUGUACAUCUAAAGAAAUUCGUUUCGAAUAAUUGUGCUUAAUACAGUGAAUUCAGUAAGCCAUAUUUUUACUCGUACAUGGCUUGAAUACAGUUCAUAUAAUCGUAAAUAAAAAUAUUCUCUGUUGUCAUCUCAAGUUCUUAGGAACUUCCACUGUAGGUUCGAUGAAGUUCUUUGUGGUUUACAUAUCAGUCUUGCGUUACUUAUUUCGAUGUCAUUUAAUGGCAGAGUGAUGCUAACGUUGUAAUUUACAAAAGGCUACUCGGUUUUAUUAGAAAAUUCUCGG